rnacentral:misc_RNA from 1 species
GAUAAUGGAAUGUUAGACGUAUUCUAAAUACACGUAUACAACUAAAAAGGAAUACUUUCAAAAUGAAUUUCCAAUUAGUAGCCUAAUUCAAGGGAGGUGUCAAUUAAUACCUAAAGAGUUUAACCUGUUAAUAAGUGGCCCCAUUAACAAGUUAAAGUAUCAUCGUCGGCAAAACCAACGACCAUAAAUUCAUAUUAAUUCAAAUUUUAAAAUUUUGAUUGUAUUAAAAAAGCACACAUUUCACUAACCACUAAUCUGUCGAAAAUUUGGCAAAGUAUCCCCUAUAAAUUGGCUGUUUUCCAAAUUCAAUCAAGACACAACCUGCAUAAAUCUGCCAUCCUAGCCUACACAAAUAUUUCAUACUAACUUUUUCCACAUUAAUAUCUAUCAAAACAUCCAAUUAAAGUUCUACUAAGUUGGUGCUAGGUUUUAACUCAAGGUAAUUUA